UAACGCGUGGAUAACCUGCCCCAUACCGGGGGAUAACAGUUAGAAAUGACUGCUAAUACCGCAUAAGCGCACGGAGCCGCAUGGCGCAGUGUGAAAAACUCCGGUGGUAUGGGAUGGAUCCGCGUCUGAUUAGCUAGUUGGCGGGGUAACGGCCCACCAAGGCAGCGAUCAGUAGCCGACCUGAGAGGGUGGCCGGCCACAUUGGGACUGAGACACGGCCCAAACUCCUACGGGAGGCAGCAGUGGGGAACAUUGCACAAUGGGGGAAACCCUGAUGCAGCAACGCCGCGUGAGUGAAGAAGUAUUUCGGUAUGUAAAGCUCUAUCAGCAGGGAAGAAGAAGGACGGUACCUGACUAAGAAGCCCCGGCUAACUACGUGCCAGCAGCCGCGGUAAUACGUAGGGGGCGAGCGUUAUCCGGAUUUACUGGGUGUAAAGGGAGCGUAGACGGUUUUUCAAGUCUGAAGUGAAAGCCCGCGGCUCAACUGCGGAACGGCUUUGGAAACUGAGGGACUAGAGUGCUGGAGGGGCAGGCGGAAUUCCUGGUGUAGCGGUGAAAUGCGUAGAUAUCAGGAGGAACACCGGUGGCGAAGGCGGCCUGCUGGACAGUAACUGACGUUGAGGCUCGAAAGCGUGGGGAGCAAACAGGAUUAGAUACCCUGGUAGUCCACGCGGUAAACGAUGAAUGCUAGGUGU
rnacentral:rRNA from 1 species